rnacentral:rRNA from 1 species
AGAGUUUGAUCCUGGCUCAGGACGAACGCUGGCGGCGUGCCUAAUACAUGCAAGUCGAGCGGACAGAUGGGAGCUUGCUCCCUGAUGUUAGCGGCGGACGGGUGAGUAACACGUGGGUAACCUGCCUGUAAGACUGGGAUAACUCCGGGAAACCGGGGCUAAUACCGGAUGCUUGUUUGAACCGCAUGGUUCAGACAUAAAAGGUGGCUUCGGCUACCACUUACAGAUGGACCCGCGGCGCAUUAGCUAGUUGGUGAGGUAACGGCUCACCAAGGCGACGAUGCGUAGCCGACCUGAGAGGGUGAUCGGCCACACUGGGACUGAGACACGGCCCAGACUCCUACGGGAGGCAGCAGUAGGGAAUCUUCCGCAAUGGACGAAAGUCUAACGGAGCAACGCCGCGUGAGUGAUGAAGGUUUUCGGAUCGUAAAGCUCUGUUGUUAGGGAAGAACAAGUGCCGUUCAAAUAGGGCGGCACCUUGACGGUACCUAACCAGAAAGCCACGGCUAACUACGUGCCAGCAGCCGCGGUAAUACGUAGGUGGCAAGCGUUGUCCGGAAUUAUUGGGCGUAAAGGGCUCGCAGGCGGUUUCUUAAGUCUGAUGUGAAAGCCCCCGGCUCAACCGGGGAGGGUCAUUGGAAACUGGGGAACUUGAGUGCAGAAGAGGAGAGUGGAAUUCCACGUGUAGCGGUGAAAUGCGUAGAGAUGUGGAGGAACACCAGUGGCGAAGGCGACUCUCUGGUCUGUAACUGACGCUGAGGAGCGAAAGCGUGGGGAGCGAACAGGAUUAGAUACCCUGGUAGUCCACGCCGUAAACGAUGAGUGCUAAGUGUUAGGGGGUUUCCGCCCCUUAGUGCUGCAGCUAACGCAUUAAGCACUCCGCCUGGGGAGUACGGUCGCAAGACUGAAACUCAAAGGAAUUGACGGGGGCCCGCACAAGCGGUGGAGCACGUGGUUUAAUUCGAAGCAACGCGAAGAACCUUACCAGGUCUUGACAUCCUCUGACAAUCCUAGAGAUAGGACGUCCCCUUCGGGGGCAGAGUGACAGGUGGUGCAUGGUUGUCGUCAGCUCGUGUCGUGAGAUGUUGGGUUAAGUCCCGCAACGAGCGCAACCCUUGAUCUUAGUUGCCAGCAUUCAGUUGGGCACUCUAAGGUGACUGCCGGUGACAAACCGGAGGAAGGUGGGGAUGACGUCAAAUCAUCAUGCCCCUUAUGACCUGGGCUACACACGUGCUACAAUGGGCAGAACAAAGGGCAGCGAAACCGCGAGGUUAAGCCAAUCCCACAAAUCUGUUCUCAGUUCGGAUCGCAGUCUGCAACUCGACUGCGUGAAGCUGGAAUCGCUAGUAAUCGCGGAUCAGCAUGCCGCGGUGAAUACGUUCCCGGGCCUUGUACACACCGCCCGUCACACCACGAGAGUUUGUAACACCCGAAGUCGGUGAGGUAACCUUUUAGGAGCCAGCCGCCGAAGGUGGGACAGAUGAUUGGGGUGAAGUCGUAACAAGGUAACC